rnacentral:tRNA from 1 species
GCGGGGAAUAGCUCAGGUUGGUAGAGCACGACCUUGCCAAGGUCGGGGUCGGCGAGGUUCGAGUCCUCGUUUCCCGCUCCA